rnacentral:tRNA from 1 species
CAAAUUAUAUCUUAUUAAAGUAUUUCAUUUACAUUGAAAAGAAAUUAUAUUAUUAAUUAAUUUGAAAUAAAAAAAUUAAA